rnacentral:rRNA from 1 species
AAGCGCUGGCGACCAGACUUGCGUGUCGGGGUUCCCCCUUGCUUCUGCUUGGGUUACUCCCCGGCGCUCAGGCCAACAUCGGUUUCGGGGGUUGGUUAAAGGCCCUGGGAAUGUACCUACCCUCCGGGGUAGACUUAUAGCCCAGGGUGUCAUGCGACCUCCCGGGACCGAGGAACGCGCUUCGGCUCGGAUGUUGGCGUAAUGGUUGUCAGCGA